rfam:Strongyloides venezuelensis genome assembly, scaffold: SVE_scaffold0000005
UGAGCGCUUGAUAUGUCUGGUAUUCUUGGGUUGAUCUGGUCCAGCCGAGUAAUAUUAGACAUAUCGAGUGCUUU